rnacentral:ncRNA from 1 species
AUGAGCGCCUGUCCACCCCAUUCCUCCUGCCGUAGAGCCAGUCACCACGCGCCUUUCAGUGCGGUCGGCAUGGACCCGGGCUACGUGGAAACGGCGAGUGUCAGGCGCCUUGCGAAUCGAUGUCGAGCCGCUGAUUCCCAUGUCGGGACGGCGGCUUUUUUA